rnacentral:tRNA from 1 species
GACCUUGGCUUAGUGGUAGAACAUCUGUUUGGUAUGCAGAAGGUCCCAGGUUCAAUCACCAGCAUCUCCU